AUUGAACGCUGGCGGCAUGCUUUACACAUGCAAGUCGAACGGUAACAGGGUGCUUGCACCGCUGACGAGUGGCGAACGGGUGAGUAAUGCGUCGGAACGUGCCGAGUAGUGGGGGAUAACGCAGCGAAAGUUGUGCUAAUACCGCAUACGUACUGAGGUAGAAAGUGGGGGACCUUCGGGCCUCACGCUAUUCGAGCGGCCGACGUCUGAUUAGCUAGUAGGUGAGGUAAAGGCUCACCUAGGCGACGAUCAGUAGCGGGUCUGAGAGGAUGAUCCGCCACACUGGGACUGAGACACGGCCCAGACUCCCACGGGAGGCAGCAGUGGGGAAUUUUGGACAAUGGGCGAAAGCCUGAUCUAGCCAUGCCGCGUGUCUGAAGAAGGCCUUCGGGUUGUAAAGGACUUUUGUCAGGGAGGAAAUCCCUAGUGCUAAUAACACUGGGGGAUGACAGUACCUGAAGAAUAAGCACCGGCUAACUACGUGCCAGCCGCCGCGGUAAUAC
rnacentral:rRNA from 1 species